rnacentral:rRNA from 1 species
UACGGGGGGGGCAAGCGUUGUUCGGAAUUACUGGGCGUAAAGGGCUCGUAGGUGGCCAACUAAGUCAGACGUGAAAUCCCUCGGCUUAACCGGGGAACUGCGUCUGAUACUGGAUGGCUUGAGAUUGGGAGAGGGAUGCGGAAUUCCUGGUGUAGCGGUGAAAUGCGUAGAUAUCAGGAGGAACACCCGUGGUGCAGACGGCUUGCUGGACCGUGACUGACGCUGAGGCACGAAAGCGUGGGUAGCAAACAGG